rnacentral:snRNA from 1 species
AGUGCUCCCUGGUAGGUGCGGAUGAUGAUCAAGAAGAUGGUUUCCCAGGGGAAGUUCCUCCCUUGUACUUGGGAUUUGCUUACCCCUGUGACCUCCUCAGAUGCAGAAGAGCACACUUUGUGGUAGUGAGGGCCUGAAGGCCUUGCGCUCUCC